rnacentral:rRNA from 1 species
ACGCACGCUGGCGGCGUGCUUCACACAUGCAGGUCGAACGGUGAAGCGCCUUCCUUUUUGGUGGGUGUGGAUGAGUGGCGAACGGGUGAGUAACACGUGAGUAACCUGCCCCCUUCUUCUGGAUAACCGCAUGAAAGUGUGGCUAAUACGGGAUAUUCUGGGUCUGUCGCAUGAUGGGUCUGGGAAAGAUAUUGUUUCGGUGGGGGAUGGGCUCGCGGCCUAUCAGCUUGUUGGUGGGGUGAUGGCCUACCAAGGCGGUGACGGGUAGCCGGCCUGAGAGGGUGGACGGUCACACUGGGACUGAGACACGGCCCAGACUCCUACGGGAGGCAGCAGUGGGGAAUAUUGCACAAUGGGCGCAAGCCUGAUGCAGCGACGCCGCGUGAGGGAUGGAGGCCUUCGGGUUGUGAACCUCUUUCGCCAGUGAAGCAGGCCUGCCUCGUUUGUGGGUGGGUUGACGGUAGCUGGAUAAGAAGCGCCGGCUAACUACGUG